AUGGAUCCUUCGGCAGGCACCUCUGGUGAGAAUGAGGGGAGUAAGAAGGUUAAGAAGAAGAUCAAGAAGAAAGGCAAUCUAUGUGGCUUUAAGUCAAGGUUUAACUCAAAAAGGCUGGCUGAGAUUGGGAAGCAAGUAUCACCGGAAAAACGGAGAAUCAUAAGGCAGGGACCGUUUGGAGACUUGUUGGACAUCCGGUCUUUCAAGGUGCCCCAUGAGCUCAUUGAGUUUGUUGUGAUGAACACGAAUCACAUAAUCUCUGAGUUCAAACACAAGAACAAGUCCAUCACCUUCAGCAAGCUCAUGGUGAAAAGGAUUUUCAACGUGCCAUACGGUGAUAGACCCGUGAAGCUUCUUAAGAAGAGUGAUGAACAUGAUCUUCGCAGCAUCUACAAGGAGGGGAACAUGGCUCCAAUCGCCCAUGUUGUCAAGUUGCUCACUAGUUGCAGCGAUGAGGACGUGGUUAUGAUAAAUAGGACUUGGACACUCCUUGCGUUGGCAACAGUUUUGUGCCCAGGCACUGGCAAUAUGGUGAAUCUCAAGUAUCUAGCUUCCUUGGAAGAUAUGUCUUUGGUGCAUGAAUUCGCUUGGGAUGAGCACUUGUUGGCACGAGCGAUGGAGGAGGUUGGAGUCUUUCAAGAGAAGAAGAGGAUGAAGGAAAUAUGCCCUAGAGGCAAUAAUAAAGUUAUUAUUUAUUUCCUUAUAUCAUGA
rnacentral:rRNA from 1 species